UACGUAGGGGGCAAGCGUUGUCCGGAAUCAUUGGGCGUAAAGAGCGUGUAGGCGGCCCGGUAAGUCCGCUGUGAAAGUCCAGGGCUCAACCCUGGGAUGCCGGUGGAUACUGUCGGGCUCGAGUCCGGAAGAGGAGUGUGGAAUUCCUGGUGUAGCGGUGAAAUGCGCAGAUAUCAGGAGGAACACCAAUGGCGAAGGCAGAUCUCUGGGCCGUAACUGACGCUGAGGAGCGAAAGCAUGGGGAGCGAACAGG
rnacentral:rRNA from 1 species